rnacentral:rRNA from 1 species
GAUGAACGCUGGCGGCGUGCUUAACACAUGCAAGUCGAACGAUGAAGCCCAGCUUGCUGGGUGGAUUAGUGGCGAACGGGUGAGUAACACGUGAGUAACCUGCCCUUCACUCUGGGAUAAGCCUGGUAAACUGGGUCUAAUACCGGAUAGGAGCGUCCCCCGCAUGGUGGGGGUUGGAAAGAUUUAUCGGUUUUGGAUGGACUCGCGGCCUAUCAGCUGGUUUGUGAGGUAAUGGCUCACCAAGGCGACGACGGGUAGCCGGCCUGAGAGGGUGACCGGCCACACGGGGACUGAGACACGGCCCAGACUCCAACGGGAGGCAGCAGUGGGGAAUAUUGCACAAUGGGCCCAAGCCUGAUGCAGCGACGCCGCGUGAGGGAUGACGGCCUUCGGGUUGUAAACCUCUUUCAGUAGGGAAGAAGCGAAAGUGACGGUACCUGCAGAAGAAGCACCGGCUAACUACGUG